GGGCCGAUGGCUCAGUGGUAGAGCGCCCGCUUUGCAUCAUUGCGCAGAUUGCGGGAGGUCCGGGUUUCGAUCACCCGUCGGUCCA